GAGGAGCUGUGCAGGUGUGAGCAGGAGGAAUCCAAGGAGCUGUGCAGGUGUCAGUGGGAGGAGUCCGAGGAGCUGUGUAGGUGUCAGUGGGAGGAGUCUGAGGAGCUGUGUAGCUCAGGUGUCAGUGGGAGGAGUCCGAGGAGCUGUGUAGCUCAGGUGUCAGUGGGAGGAGUCUGAGGAGCUGUGUAGCUCAGGAGUCAGCGGGAGGAGUCCGAGGAGCUGUGUAGCUCAGGUGUCAGUGGGAGGAGUCCGAGGAGCUGUGUAGCUCAGGUGUCAGUGGGAGGAGUCCGAGGAGCUGUGUAGCUCAGUAGUCAGCGGGAGGAGUCCGAGGAGCUGUGUAGCUCAGGAGUCAGUGGGAGGAGUCCGAGGAGCUGUGUAGCUCAGGAGUCAGUGGGAGGAGUCCGAGGAGCUGUGUAGCUCAGGAGUCAGUGGGAGGAGUCCGAGGAGCUGUGUAGCUCAGGAGUCAGCGGGAGGAGUCCGAGGAGCUGUGUAGGUGUCAGUGGGAGGAGUCUGAGGAGCUGUGUAGCUCAGGUGUCAGUGGGAGGAGUCUGAGGAGCUGUGUAGCUCAGGAGUCAGCGGGAGGAGUCCGAGGAGCUGUGUAGCUCAGGAGUCAGCGGGAGGAGUCCGAGGAGCUGUG